GGGGGGUGCCUAUACAUGCAAGUCGAGCGGACAGAAGGGAGCUUGCUCCCGGAUGUUAGCGGCGGACGGGUGAGUAACACGUGGGUAACCUGCCUGUAAGACUGGGAUAACUCCGGGAAACCGGAGCUAAUACCGGAUAGUUCCUUGAACCGCAUGGUUCAAGGAUGAAAGACGGUUUCGGCUGUCACUUACAGAUGGACCCGCGGCGCAUUAGCUAGUUGGUGAGGUAACGGCUCACCAAGGCGACGAUGCGUAGCCGACCUGAGAGGGUGAUCGGCCACACUGGGACUGAGACACGGCCCAGACUCCUACGGGAGGCAGCAGUAGGGAAUCUUCCGCAAUGGACGAAAGUCUGACGGAGCAACGCCGCGUGAGUGAUGAAGGUUUUCGGAUCGUAAAGCUCUGUUGUUAGGGAAGAACAAGUGCAAGAGUAACUGCUUGCACCUUGACGGUACCUAACCAGAAAGCCACGGCUAACUACGUGCCAGCAGCCGCGGUAAUACGUAGGUGGCAAGCGUUGUCCGGAAUUAUUGGGCGUAAAGGGCUCGCAGGCGGUUUCUUAAGUCUGAUGUGAAAGCCCCCGGCUCAACCGGGGAGGGUCAUUGGAAACUGGGAAACUUGAGUGCAGAAGAGGAGAGUGGAAUUCCACGUGUAGCGGUGAAAUGCGUAGAGAUGUGGAGGAACACCAGUGGCGAAGGCGACUCUCUGGUCUGUAACUGACGCUGAGGAGCGAAAGCGUGGGAAGCAAAAAAAGGAAAAAAACUGA
rnacentral:rRNA from 1 species